rnacentral:rRNA from 1 species
AUACAUGCAGUCGAGCGAACGGAUAAGGAGCUUGCUCCUUUGAAGUUAGCGGCGGACGGNUGAGUAACACGUGGGUAACCUACCUAUAAGACUGGAAUAACUUCGGGAAACCGGAGCUAAUGCCGGAUAACAUUUGGAACCGCAUGGUUCUAAAGUAAAAGAUGGUUUUGCUAUCACUUAUAGAUGGACCCGCGCCGUAUUAGCUAGUUGGUAAGGUAACGGCUUACCAAGGCAACGAUACGUAGCCGACCUGAGAGGGUGAUCGGCCACACUGGAACUGAGACACNNUCCAGACUCNUACGGGAGGCAGCAGUAGGGAAUCUUCCGCAAUGGACGAAAGUCUGACGGAGCAACGCCGCGUGAGUGAUGAAGGUUUUCGGAUCGUAAAACUCUGUUAUUAGGGAAGAACAAAUGUGUAAGUAACUGUGCACAUCUUGACGGUACCUAAUCAGAAAGCCACGGCUAACUACGUGCCAGCAGCCGCGGUAAUACGUAGGUGGCAAGCGUUAUCCGGAAUUAUUGGGCGUAAAGCGCGCGUAGG